UAAAUCAGUAAAAAAAAAAAGUAAAGAAACUCAUUGAUAAUAACACAAUAAUGGUAGGGGACUUUAACAACCCACUCAACAGGAAUGGACAGAUCAUGUAAGUAGAAGAUCAACACGGUAAAAAUGGCUUUGAAUGACACACUGGCCAUGAUGGACUUAACAGAUAUAUUCAAAGCAUUUCAUCCUACAGCAGCAGAAUACACAUUCUUUUUGAGUAUACAUGGAACAUUCCCCAGAACAGAUCACAUACUGGAGUAACAGCCAAGG